ACAACAGGUGGAGCCUGCGGUUUAAUCGGACUCAACGCCGGGAAACUCACCAGAUAAGACAGCUGAAUGAUAGUCGGGCUGAAGACUCUACUUGACUAGCUGAGAGGAGGUGCAUGGCCGUCGUCAGUUCGUACUGUGAAGCAUCCUGUUAAGUCAGGCAACGAGCGAGACCCACGCCAACAGUUGCCAGCUCGUCCUCCGGGAUGGUGGGGACACUGUUGGGACCGCCUCUGCUAAAGAGGAGGAAGGAAUGGGCAACGGUAGGUCAGCAUGCCCCGAAUUAUCUGGGCUACACGCGGGCUACAAUGGGUGGGACAAUGGGUAUCGACACCGAAAGGUGAAGGCAAUCUCCUAAACCCAUCCGUAGUUCGGAUUGUGGGCUGCAACUCGUCCACAUGAAGCUGGAAUCUGUAGUAAUCGUGUCUCAAAAUGGCACGGUGAAUAUGUCCCUGCUCCUU
rnacentral:rRNA from 1 species